rnacentral:rRNA from 4 species
ACGGCCAUACCUAGGCGAAAACACCAGUUCCCGUCCGAUCACUGCAGUUAAGCGUCUGAGGGCCUCGUUAGUACUAUGGUUGGAGACAACAUGGGAAUCCGGGGUGCUGUAGGCU